rnacentral:rRNA from 1 species
AUUGAACGCUGGCGGCAUGCCUUACACAUGCAAGUCGAACGGCAGCACGGGAGCAAUCCUGGUGGCGAGUGGCGAACGGGUGAGUAAUGUAUCGGAACGUGCCCAGUCGUGGGGGAUAACGUAGCGAAAGCUACGCUAAUACCGCAUACGAUCUAUGGAUGAAAGCGGGGGAUCGCAAGACCUCGCGCGAUUGGAGCGGCCGAUAUCAGAUUAAGUAGUUGGUGGGGUAGAGGCUCACCAAGCCGACGAUCUGUAGCUGGUCUGAGAGGACGACCAGACACACUGGGACUGAGACACGGCCCAGACUCCUACGGGAGGCAGCAGUGGGGAAUUUUGGACAAUGGGAGCAAGCCUGAUCCAGCAAUGCCGCGUGCAGGAUGAAGGCCUUCGGGUUGUAAACUGCUUUUGUACGGAACGAAACGGCGAGCUCUAAUACAGUUUGCUAAUGACGGUACCGUAAGAAUAAGCACCGGCUAACUACGUGCCAGCCGCCGCCGUAA